rnacentral:other from 1 species
ACUAGUACAUCUGAUGUACUGAAUGGGACACUGAUGGUGUGUCUAUUUUAUAUUAAAGGUAAUAUUGAUGUCUAAAGUUAAAGGUAACGUUAAGUGGUUCAACGAGUCUAAAGGUUUCGGUUUUAUCACUCCAGAAGAUGGUAGCAAAGAUGUAUUUGUUCAUUUUUCUGCGAUUACAAGCGACGGUUUCAAAACCCUAGCUGAAGGCCAGAAAGUUGAAUUCGAAAUCACUGAAGGCGCUAAAGGUCCAUCUGCUGUAAACGUUGUCUCUUUGUAAUUUAAUCAUUCUGAAUUUAAUCACAUAGAAACGAAUAGCUUAAACCUGCUCCCAAUUGGAGCAGGUUUUAUU